GACGAACGCUGGCGGCGUGCUUAACACAUGCAAGUCGAGCAGUAAGGCCCUUUCGGGGGUACACGAGCGGCGAACGGGUGAGUAACACGUGGGUGACCUGCCUCUAGCUCUGGGAUAAGCCCGGGAAACUGGGUCUAAUACUGGAUAUGACUCCAUGACGCAUGUUGUGGGGUGGAAAGCCUUGUGCGGCUAGAGAUGGGCCCGCGGCCUAUCAGCUUGNGGUGGGUGAUGGCCUACCAAGGCGACGACGGGUAGCCGGCCUGAGAGGGCGACCGGCCACACUGGGACUGAGACACGGCCCAGACUCCUACGGGAGGCAGCAGUGGGGAAUCUUGCGCAAUGGGCGAAAGCCUGACGCAGCGACGCCGCGUG
rnacentral:rRNA from 1 species